AUUGAACGCUGGCGGCAGGCUUAACACAUGCAAGUCGAGCGAGCGGCGGACGGGUGAGUAAUGUCUGGGAAACUGUCUGAUGGAGGGGGAUAACUACUGGAAACUGUAGCUAAUACCGCCACCCCUCAGAUGUCCCCAGAUGGGAUUAUCUAGUGGGUGGGGGAAUGGCUCACCUAGGCGACGAUCCCUAGCUGGUCUGAGAGGAUGACCAGCCACACUGGAACUGAGACACGGUCCAGACUCCUACGGGAGGCAGCAGUGGGGAAUAUUGCACAAUGGGCGCAAGCCUGAUGCAGCCAUGCCGCGUGUGUGAAGAAGGCCUUCGGGUUGUAAAGCACUUUCAGCGAGGAGGCGUUACUCGCAGAAGAAGCACCGGCUAACUCCGUGCCAGCAGCCGCGGUAAUUC
rnacentral:rRNA from 1 species